UACGUAGGGGGCAAGCGUUGUCCGGAAUCACUGGGCGUAAAGCGCGCGCAGGCGGUCAUCUACGUCUGGGGUGAAAGCCCGGAGCUCAACUCCGGGAUUGCCUUGGAUACGGGAUGACUUGAGGAUCGGAGAGGCAAGGGGAAUUCCGACGUGUAGCGGUGAAAUGCGUAGAGAUGUGGAGGAACACCUGUGGCGAAGGCGCCUUGCUGGCCGAUUUCUGACGCUGAGGCGCGAAAGCGUGGGGAGCAAACAGG
rnacentral:rRNA from 1 species